rnacentral:rRNA from 1 species
GACGAACGCUGGCGGCGUGCUUAACACAUGCAAGUCGAACGGAAAGGCCCUGCUUUUGUGGGGUGCUCGAGUGGCGAACGGGUGAGUAACACGUGAGUAACCCGCCCUUGAAUUUGGGAUAACUUUAGGAAACUGGGGCUAAUACCGGAGAGGAGCUCCUGCUGCAUGGUGGGGGAUGGAAAGUGUCGGCGGUUGGGGAUGGACUCGCGGCUUAUCAGCUGGUUUGUGGGGUAGUGGCUUACCAAGGCUGUGAAGGGUAGCCGGCCUGAGAGGGUGACCGGCCACAUUGGGACUGAGAUACGGCCCAGACUCCUACGGGAGGCAGCAGUGGGGAAUAUUGCACAAUGGGCGGAAGCCUGAUGCAGCAACGCCGCGUGCGGGAUGACGGCCUUCGGGUUAUAAACCGCUUUCGCCUGUGACGAAGCGUGAGUGACGGUAAUGGGUAAAGAAGCACCGGCUAACUACGUG